AUGGCGGCGCUCGCUCCGACGAAGAUGCUCGGCACCCGGCUCAACUUCGCCGGAUCCUCCAGGUAUGCCACAGCGGCACCAACUGCUGGCGCACAGAAGAUCGUCUCCCUCUUUGAUCGCUUCAAGAAGAAGCCCGCCCCGAAGCCGAAGCCCGCACCCGUUGCCACCUCGAGCGUAGGCAUCGACGACGAGCUCGCCAAGUGGUACGGCCCUGACAGGAGGAUCUACUUGCCCAACGGUCUCCUUGACCGGUCGGAGGUGCCGGAGUACCUCAACGGAGAGGUUCCCGGAGACUACGGCUAUGAUCCUUUUGGUCUGGGCAAGAAGCCAGAGGACUUCGCCAAGUACCAGGCCUUUGAGCUCAUCCAUGCCAGGUGGGCCAUGCUCGGCGCCGCCGGAUUCAUCAUCCCCGAGGCGCUCAACAAGUUCGGCGCAAACUGCGGCCCCGAGGCCGUUUGGUUCAAGACCGGCGCCCUUCUCCUCGACGGCAACACCCUCAACUACUUCGGCAACAGCAUCCCCAUCAACCUGAUCCUCGCCGUCGUCGCCGAGGUCGUCCUCGUCGGAGGCGCCGAGUACUACAGGAUCACCAACGGACUGGAAUUUGAUGACAAGCUCCACCCAGGUGGCCCAUUCGACCCGCUCGGCCUCGCCACCGACCCGGACCAGGCGGCGCUGCUCAAGGUGAAGGAGAUCAAGAACGGGCGGCUGGCCAUGUUCUCCAUGCUGGGGUUCUUCAUCCAGGCCUACGUCACCGGCGAGGGCCCCUUCGAGAACCUGUGCGCGCACCUCAGCGACCCCUUCGGCAACAACCUGCUCACCGUCAUCUCCGGCGCCGCCGAGAGGGUGCCCAGCCUGUGA
rnacentral:rRNA from 1 species